UCCUGGGAUAGCUCAGUUGGUAGAGCCUUAGGCUAUUAAUCUUAGGGUCGUGGGUUUGAACCCCACCUUGGGCA